GGACGAACGCUGGCGGCGUGCCUAAUACAUGCAAGUAGAACGCUGAAGGAGGAGCUUGCUCUUCUGGAUGAGUUGCGAACGGGUGAGUAACGCGUAGGUAACCUGCCUGGUAGCGGGGGAUAACUAUUGGAAACGAUAGCUAAUACCGCAUAAUAGCAGUUGUUGCAUGACAACUGUUUAAAAGGUGCAAUUGCACCACUACCAGAUGGACCUGCGUUGUAUUAGCUAGUUGGUGGGGUAACGGCUCACCAAGGCGACGAUACAUAGCCGACCUGAGAGGGUGAUCGGCCACACUGGGACUGAGACACGGCCCAGACUCCUACGGGAGGCAGCAGUAGGGAAUCUUCGGCAAUGGACGGAAGUCUGACCGAGCAACGCCGCGUGAGUGAAGAAGGUUUUCGGAUCGUAAAGCUCUGUUGUAAGAGAAGAACGAGUGUGAGAGUGGAAAGUUCACACUGUGACGGUAUCUUACCAGAAAGGGACGGCUAACUACGUGCCAGCAGCCGCGGUAAUACGUAGGUCCCGAGCGUUGUCCGGAUUUAUUGGGCGUAAAGCGAGCGCAGGCGGUUAGAUAAGUCUGAAGUUAAAGGCUGUGGCUUAACCAUAGUACGCUUUGGAAACUGUUUAACUUGAGUGCAAGAGGGGAGAGUGGAAUUCCAUGUGUAGCGGUGAAAUGCGUAGAUAUAUGGAGGAACACCGGUGGCGAAAGCGGCUCUCUGGCUUGUAACUGACGCUGAGGCUCGAAAGCGUGGGGGAGCAAACAGGAUUAGAUACCCUGGUAGUCCACGCCGUAAACGAUGAGUGCUAGGUGUUAGACCCUUUCCGGGGUUUAGUGCCGUAGCUAACGCAUUAAGCACUCCGCCUGGGGAGUACGACCGCAAGGUUGAAACUCAAAGGAAUUGACGGGGGCCCGCACAGCGGUGGAGCAUGUGGUUAAUCGAGCACGCGAAGAACCUUACCAGGUCUUGACAUCCCUCUGAUCGCUCUAGAAGAUAGAGUUUUCCUUCGGGACAAAAGU
rnacentral:rRNA from 1 species